GAUGAACGCUGGCGGCGUGCUUAACACAUGCAAGUCGAACGAAGCUGUUAAAAGGAAGUCUUCGGAUGGAAUUUUAACAGACUUAGUGGCGGACGGGUGAGUAACGCGUGGAUAACCUGCCUUAUACAGGGGGAUAACGGAGAGAAAUUUCCGCUAAGACCGCAUAAGACCACAGCACCGCAUGGUGCAGGGGUAAAAUAUUAAUAGGUAUAAGAUGGAUCCGCGUCCGAUUAGCUGGUUGGUGAGGUAGAGGCUCACCAAGGCGACGAUCGGUAGCCGGCCUGAGAGGGUGAACGGCCACAUUGGGACUGAGACACGGCCCAAACUCCUACGGGAGGCAGCAGUGGGGAAUAUUGGACAAUGGGGGAAACCCUGAUCCAGCGACGCCGCGUGAGUGAAGAAGUAUUUCGGUAUGUAAAGCUCUAUCAGCAGGGAAGAAAAUGACGGUACCU
rnacentral:rRNA from 1 species